GGGGAAACCCAGUGUGACUCGUCACACUAUCAUUAACUGAAUCCAUAGGUUAAUGAGGCGAACCGGGGGAACUGAAACAUCUAAGUACCCCGAGGAAAAGAAAUCAACCGAGAUUCCCCCAGUAGCGGCGAGCGAACGGGGAGGAGCCCAGAGCCUGAAUCAGCAUGUGUGUUAGUGGAAGCGUCUGGAAAGGCGCGCGAUACAGGGUGACAGCCCCGUACACAAAAGCGCAUGUGCUGUGAGCUCGAUGAGUAGGGCGGGACACGUGGUAUCCUGUCUGAAUAUGGGGGGACCAUCCUCCAAGGCUAAAUACUCCUGACUGACCGAUAGUGAACCAGUACCGUGAGGGAAAGGCGAAAAGAACCCCGGCGAGGGGAGUGAAAAAGAACCUGAAACCGUGUACGUACAAGCAGUGGGAG
rnacentral:rRNA from 1 species